AAGGACUGAACACAAAAUCUAUUGCAAAGAUGGCUUCACAAGAAGACAACAUCUUACGCAACUAUUUCUUAAAAGAACGUAACUGGAUUCACACAGAGAUAAAGAGCUUUUUGUUCGUAAUUUUAUCUUCUUUUGUUAAUUAUGAAGAGGAUUACGGAGUGCCGCGAGAAUUUAUUGUAAACAGAAUCAGCAAUAAAUUUCCUUUAUUAAUCAAAUCCUUGUGUCAAAUACAUGGUCUAUAUGGUUAUCCCGCGUCUACAAACUCUGACUAUUCUCCUGAUGACACAGUUACAGAUGUUAAACCAGAGGCAGUUAAAGAGAUUUUCAACAGCUUGACAAAAAAUGAUAAGACACUUGGAGAUUAUCACACAGAUGCAAAGGAAGAUCAUUUUUGGCAAUUUGAAUCUUUUACCGACUUAGUCAGAGAGCCUGCUCAU